UUACCCAAUCCUAAUUCAGGGAGGUAGUGACAAUAAAUAACGAUACAGGGCCCAUUCGGGUCUUGUAAUUGGNAUGAGUACAAUGNAAAUACCUUAACGAGGAACAAUUGGAGGGCAAGUCUGGUGCCAGCAGCCGCGGUA
rnacentral:rRNA from 1 species